rnacentral:rRNA from 1 species
UGCAAAGCGCAGCACUAGAGGUAGCUUAGUGCCUUCGGGAACUCUGAGACAGGUGCUGCAUGGCUGUCGUCAGCUCGUGUUGUGAAAUGUUGGGUUAAGUCCCGCAACGAGCGCAACCCUUAUCCUUUGUUGCCAGCACGUAAUGGUGGGAACUCAAAGGAGACUGCCGGUGAUAAACCGGAGGAAGGUGGGGAUGACGUCAAGUCAUCAUGGCCCUUACGAGUAGGGCUACACACGUGCUACAAUGGCAUAUACAAAGAGAAGCAAACUCGCGAGAGCAAGCGGACCUCAUAAAGUAUGUCGUAGUCCGGAUUGGAGUCUGCAACUCGACUCCAUGAAGUCGGAAUCGCUAGUAAUCGUAGAUCAGAAUGCUACGGUGAAUACGUUCCCGGGUCUUGUACACACCGAGGG